UACGUAGGGGGCUAGCGUUGUCCGGAUUUAUUGGGCGUAAAGAGCGUGUAGGCGGCCAGGUAGGUCCGUUGUGAAAACUGGGAGGCUUAACCUCCAGCUGUCGAUGGAAACCAUCUGGCUAGAGUCCGGAAGAGGAGAGUGGAAUUCCUGGUGUAGCGGUGAAAUGCGCAGAUAUCAGGAAGAACACCCGUGGCGAAGGCGGCUCUCUGGGACGGUACUGACGCUGAGACGCGAAAGCGUGGGGAGCGAACAGG
rnacentral:rRNA from 1 species